CUACCCCCAAUGCCCACAGCCAGACCUCACCCUCGGACUCAAGCGGCAUACCGAUCCGGGAACCAUCACGCUGCUCCUUCAGGAUCAGGUGGGAGGGCUCCAGGCCACUAGGGAUGGCGGAAAGACUUGGAUCACCGUUCAACCUGUUGAAGGAGCUUUCGUCGUCAACCUUGGCGACCACGGUCAUGUAAGCAUCAUAACCGGCGAAAGGCUGAAGCUAAUCUUUUCUUUGUCUUUGUCUUUUAAUUUAAUUUUAUAGAUAAGGUAGAAAUUCUCUUGUUCAUUGGUUUUCUUUAUGUGGUCAACAUCCACAAUAGUCCUUCCUGAUAUGGUAUUCAAAUUCAUGCUACCCGAACCCGAAAGAGAGAGUGAUUAUUGGUUUGGUAUGGUGCAGUAUCUGAGCAAUGGGAGGUUCAAGAAUGCUGAUCACCAAGCGGUGGUGAACUCCAAUCAUAGCAGACUGUCCAUAGCAACAUUCCAAAACCCCGCACCGGAGGCAAC
rnacentral:lncRNA from 1 species